GGGGCGCGCCCGGCGCGACGCGGAGCAGGCCAGCCCCCGACUACUGCCCGCGGAAUGGGCAAGAUUAGUUUGUUAAUAAUCUUUCCUCCUCUCCUCCUCCUCCUCCCUCACCUAAAAAUAGAACGUAAGUGGGGAGGCCAAGUCUCACAAAACAUCCCCCGCGAGAAAACAAGUGUCUGCUUGGGCACCCUGAAACAUACACUUGAAAGAGUCGCCUGAAUAUAGACUCUUUAGUGUCCAAGGAAUUGGGGUAAGGACGGAAAGAGGUGCUUGAUUGGUGUUGCCAAAAUGUAAAAACUGCAAAAGACUAAGCUUCCUGGAGUGCUACUUUCAUACUUAAAGUUAUUUAUCGUGUUUAUGUUAUGAAUGAAAAUGAAUUGUGAAAGGAUAUUUAAUCUGGAAAUUUCACAUUGAAGUUGGACUUUGGUGAGGGAGAAUAGAGGAAACAAUUGGGACAAUGUGGAGAUAGUUGCUUGGAUUUUGGUGAGACAGCAUGAUACAAGAAACAAAUGAUGUCAGGGUUCAAAACUUUUUAAAGCCAGCUUUGGCAUUCCGUUUUGUUAUGUUUAAAUUCUCAUUAGCAAAAAUACUCAAAUUCUAUCCAAAACCAGACACAAUGUGACAGACCUAUCAAGCAGCAUUGUUCCCCUAAAUGUUACAUCUGAACUAUACAUAUAAGUAAGGCUUCCAAUAUUUUAUUGUACUUGGCUAUGCUCUGAAGAACAAGUUAGAACACUUUUUAAAAUCUUAACGUGAUUGAAAAGAAUAUUUUGCGUAGACAAAAUAUUUUAAGGAAGGAAUUAUUUUUCAUUUGAAAUUAAAAUCCAGAGCAUAGUAAAAUUCCUAAUGGAAGCAUUCGAAUUACAAGGUAAUUAAGUGCAUUGUCAUUGAUAGCUACAGGAAACCAUAACUUUUGGAGAAUUUGGAAUGAAGAAUGCUCUGGAGAUGAAAUAGUGCCUAGUUUUUGUCCAGGCAUUUACACAUAAGUCAUAGACUACUAAAAUAGCACACUGAUUUUCCUGCCUUCAUUCUUUCCUAUCUCCUUUCUAGCGCAUUGCUCUAGAUUUACAAUUCCAAGACAUCUUCUAAUGGUUUACUAAUAUCCCCAAGAUCAAAUCCAAAAUCCAGACUAGCUUUCCAGAACCAUCAUAAUAUUCUCCUGAGUCUCAUCUAUGUACUGCCAAAUGUCAGGGGAGUUAGAACAGUGAUAUUAAUAUCUCUAUGGCUUGAAAUUUCACUACUAGAAAAUCUUUUCUUUGAACCUAUAAGACUUUCUCAGCCUUCAAGGGUCCUGUAGUAGGAUGCAGCUAACAGUUUAAUGGCUCUCCAAAAUAGGUCAGAGUCUCGCUGCCUGUGUGGAAGAUGAAAAAGAGAAUGAAUAAAGAAGGUACCUAAGAAGAAGCAUUGAAAGGGCUGGUCAAGUGCCACAAAAUAUGCUGCCUUCAAAGUUUUAUCCAGGGUUCUUACGUAUCCACCCUGUUCCUCUGCUGCUCCCAGCUUCAAUUCUAUCAUAUCUAAGUGCUGUUGCCUACUCUGUCUUUGCUAAUUAAUUCAUUCCUGUUCUUUCUGUCCACUACCUUCAUGACUUUCAAAAUCUAGCUAAGCCAGAACUUUUUGACUCCACCAUUCCACCACUCCUGAUCACACCCCUCCCACAGGGAUCUGAUAUACAACAGCAUGUCUAUGUCAUUUAUUUGGGGACUGGAUUGUAGAGUAAAUAAUAUGACUGGCCCUGGAAGGUAUGUUUGGCUUACUAGCCAGAUUGUAAAUUGUGAGAGAUGAUAGAACAUUCUUCAGUAUUCUUGCACCCCUUACACUUUUAAAUGCUGAUCCCACAAGGGAUAAUGGGUCUUCUUGAGGUAGUUUCUGUUUUCUGUGUUCUUCAAAGAGACACCUAAAUUGAUUAUUUUAAAAUUUGCUUCAUGUUAUUUCUAUAAUGCUUAUAUUUUAUUUAGGUUUGCAGUUGUUUAAAUACACUUUCAGAUGACAACAACAAAGAAUUCUUGUGAAAGGCAAUAAUUAACCAUAGUUUAAAAAAAAAUCAAACAACCAGAGUCAAGUAAUAAGGGGGAAAAAUUACCAGCAGGUAACAAAGUAGAAUAUAUACAUUAUUCAGUUUCCGGUAGCACAAAUGUGUGCUUUCUUCUACAUGGCAUUUUUUAAUGAAAUAUGUUGAGGGUAUAGAAGUAAUAGAGAAGGAAAUCCUUGAAGUAGUAUGCUAUUGCCUUGAAAAGUAAGGUUUUUUCAUUGUAUUCUCAACUUUUACAGAUGUUUUAAAAUGCCCAAGGUAUUUCAUUUAUUCGAUAAUGAAUACUACACAUGAAGAAAGUCUGCAUGUUUGCUUCUUCGAGGAUUUUCUCCCAAACAAGUACUAUCUUGUACACCAACUGCAAAUAUACAUUGCGAAGCUCUACAUAAAGAGUAUUGUCUGGGCCAGGCAUGGUGGCUCACACCUGUAAUCCCAGCACUUUGGGAGGCUGAGGCGGGGCAGAUCACCUGAGGUCAGGAGUUUGAGACCAGCCUGACCAACAUGGAGAAACCCUGUCUCUACUAAAAAUACAAAAUUAGCCAUGCAUGGUGGCGAAUGCCUGUAAUUCCACCAACUUGGGAGGCUAAGGCAGGAGAAUAGCUUGAACCCAGGAGGCAGAGGUUGCGGUGAGCUGAGAUUGUGCCAUUGCACUCCAGCCUGGGCAAAAAGAGUGAAACGCUGUCUCAAAAAAAAAAAAAAAAAAGAGUAUUGUCUGAAUCAAUGAUGUUUGCAAGGUGGAAAAAGAAAGAAAUGUAUAUUAAAUGUGGAUAAUUCCAUCCAGCAUGACAUAGUGGAAGCAACGUGGUCUUUGGUGUUAGACUGAAGUUUGAAAUGUUUCCCUCUUUUUCUAGCUGUAUGGUAUAAGGCAAGACAGCUAAUAUCCCAAGGCCAUGACUUUUCUCAUCUUUGAAAUAGCAAUCAUGAUAACUACCUUCCCAAAUUGAUGUGAAUCUCACAAGAAAUAAUGUAGGUGCUCAGUAUAGCUAUUAGAAUGAUUAUAUUGCAGAAAGCAAAAAAUAAAUCAAUUUCAUAUGGGGGAAUAAUUCUCAUAUUAGCAAAUGGCAUCUAUCAUCAUGCUUAUGCAGCUGUAUUUUAAAAUUGGCAUAAGUUCAGGCAAAGAUAGAAAACGUAUACUUUGGUUAAAUCAGGCAGUUUUAUAUGGGAAAGCAUGAAUCAUAAGGGAAACAUUGUUCUUGGUUUAAUUAGAUAUUUAAAAUUGCAAAACAAGAUUUACUAUUGGGUAGGCUAAGCCAUUUUGGUUGUAGUUAUGGUAUUGUUUCUUUAAUAAUAUUUAUAUGCUCAAAAAUUGUAUUUUGUGCAUCAAAAUCUUAAUUAUUUAGAAUCUGAUUAGAGAGUGGUAGAGUUGCAGUUAUUUCUUCAAAUUCUCAUCUUUUGUUAAGACAAAAGGGGCCUCAGAGGUAUAAGGUUAAGUAGAAUAUCAGGUUAAAUGAACAAAGUAGCAUUUUAUAUUUUGAUAGUAUUGCCUGGAGAAAAAAAUUCUAUAUAAAAUAAGAAUGGAAAACACUGCAUAUUAUACCCCCUCCUCUUCCUCCACCCCAGCCCAGUCACAAUGAAUGUUAAAGACUUGAGACGUCUUCAAAACUUGUUUUUUAAAACUUUAAUUUUUUAAACCCAAUAGUUAUAAAAUUUAUUUCAACAGUAAAUCUUUUUGGCCCCUCAAUGUAUCCAUUAACAUUUCCAGGGAUACCAGUGAAAUAAUUUGCAAUAGCAUAAAAGAGAAUAAAAGAAAAAAUAUUAAUAAAUAAGAGUAAACACUUCAAAAA
rnacentral:lncRNA from 10 species